rnacentral:lncRNA from 1 species
UAAUGCAGGAAGUAGUGAUGUGGAUUCAACAGCGAGCAUGAUUCUCCUUCAGUUUCAGUCUGAUGGGGUGUUGCAGCAUGGAGCAAGGAAGCACUGUGGGAGUUGGCUUUCAGAGAGGGUAUUAGCUCUUUUUUUGAGAAAAUCCACAGAAAUUUUGCUCAAGAGAGAUGUGCACUGCAGCACUUUUAAUAUAUAGAUGUCACUGGUAGAGUCCUAAACAGGAAGAAAAGGAGAAAUUGAAUGUGUCCUGCAGGACUUGCCUGCUCCACCCCCUUAUCUCUUUGCAAGUUUCAGCACGACUCAUACAGCUAGUGCUCCACCUUUGCUCUGUAUUCAGCCUGUGAAACAAGUUCUCUGCUUCAGUGACCUCCUCUGGAUUUUCCCUGCUUGCAUCAGUCCACAUAGUCAUUCUUUUAACACCAUGUACUUUGAUGUGAGAAAGAAGGUAAAGGAGCCCAACCCCAGAAAAGGACUUGCCAAAUCAUCCUCUGCCUGGUCCAUUCAGAAAGCCUGAGCACCAGAGAGAGUGAGGGCAGGAUGCCCAUCCUUGUGCAUGCUGCUUGCAGGAAGGAGGAGAAAAACAGAGAGCAGGACUGCAAGAGAGUCUGCAUAGGAAGACAAACUGAACAGACCACCUUCUGCUUUGGGAACCCAUACAGUGGAAUUGAAACAACCUGCAUCCACCAGCAAAGCAGAAAAAAAAUGUUUUCAACCACUGUGGUACAAAGUCAGGAGUUUUGUGCAAUGGAUAAAAAAUUGUGCCUUAAUAUGGAAAAAAAAAAAAAAGAGAGAGAGAAAGAGGUUGUUCCUUCAUGGAGAAAUCAAUUUUGAGGUUAUACCUGGUUUAGCAGUACUCAAGAAAAAAAUAAUCAACCAACCUAUGAGGCAUUACAGAGAGACCAAGCCAGCAGGUAAGGCUGGGCAGAAUGUCCUCAGAAUGUAUAUAUAUAUUAUAUGUAUAACAUCAAAAGCAGCCAGUCAAAUAGGAUUUUACUAACAGCCUGGCAACAUUCCCUUCACAGAUAAUACAGGGAUUGCUUUUUUUAGCAUGUCUCAGGGUGGGAGGCAAACUGCUACGCUGAGGCAAAGAAAUGACCAGACUUAGAAAUCCAGUUCUGGGAGGAAAGUGGAUUGGAGAAGACCUUUACUUCAUUACAAAAACACAGAAAAAAACCCAACAUUUAAAAUGCACACACAGUAAAUAGCAGUAUCCAACAGAACAAACAGCAUGCAAGCUAUUCAGGCCAACUGAAACCAUCAGAUUAUGCUGCCAAUCUAUUUUUUCUUUCCAGUUAUUGACUAUUUUGUCAUUUGUGCAUCCAGAGCUAGCUGGAACCUGGUAUCAGAGGAAUGGUGGAAAAGAAAAGAAAAAGAAGGGGAAAAAAGUGUGUCUGCAUAUAUAAAAAAAAGUAGCUCAGUAGAGCCUUCCAAACAUCCAUUUGAGCUGGAUUCAGAUAAAGGUCCAGAUUAGUCUUCUGUCCUAUUUGGAUCUGUUCACUCACCACGUACCACAAAAGCAUGUGUAUUUUUAUCGAUCACCUCUGUCCACACUGCUAUAUUCUCUUCUUUUUUUUGCUGCAUUGUUGCAUUGAUUUCUUCUGCCCAAAUCACAGUAUUGAUUUUUUCCACCUCUGUUACAUCUCCUAUGCUUCACUCAACCACCCCCUUGAUUAAUAGGCAAAGUGCAAGAUUAAGUGCUCAUCCUACAAGCACUUAUGCAUGUGAAGAGUUUACACACAGGGAUAAAUCUAAGGCCAUUUUUUCUGCUGCAGUAUCUGUGCAUAAAGCUAUACAUGAAAUAUUUUAUCUUAGAAUCACUUCAGUUGGAAAAGACACCUAAGAGAACACAGGGAUUACACGGAAGUAUAUUAUGAGGAUGGUAUACAAUCCUUUGCUGUUAGUCUUCAUUAAGAUAAUGAAAAACAACUAAAAACUCUCAGCUCUUCUACCAAAACGUUACUGAAAGGCAGUUUUAGUUAAAAUUAUUGACACAGAGAUGAAAGUAAGACUUUCUGCCAAGGAUAAGCCAGAUUUCCUAUGGAGGUCGCUUCUUGCAGCUGCAGAAAAGGAAAUAGCCUGAUGCACUGAGUGCAUCCUUGUUUUGUCAUAUAUCCUGCUCUGAAGAUACUGAGGUUGUUGGAAAGACCUCUUCUGAUUCUGGAUGCAGGUACUUUGGAAAUCCUACUUACAAUUGCAGCCAAUGAAUCGGAUAUUAAUGGACAUUUAACAGCUAUGGUCAGAAAUUUUCUGUUUAUAAUUUUUCUGUAGAUACUUAUAUUUUUAAAUUUUUCUUUUUUUUUCCUUACCUCAAAAACCAACAACUCUUAUCAAAAAAAAGACACUUUCCAUGAACCAGCAGUGAUAUUUUUUUUCAUAUUUUCAGUGAGAAGUUGAGGUAUUCUACAGGAAAAAACAUCAUGUUUUUUUUUUUUUCUGAGCAGCUGUUAUGUUUAAUAAAAUUACAUUUAAAAUAAUCUUGCA